rnacentral:rRNA from 1 species
CCUACGGGUGGCAGCAGUGAGGAAUAUUGGUCAAUGGCCGGAAGGCUGAACCAGCCAUGCCGCGUGAAGGUCAGUGCCCUAUGGGCGUUAAACUUCUUUUGUGCGGGAGCAAUAAUGGUCACGUGUGGCCAGACGAGAGUACCGUACGAAUAAGCAUCGGCUAACUCCGUGCCAGCAGCCGCGGUAAUACGGGGGAUGCAAGCGUUAUCCGGAUUUAUUGGGUUUAAAGGGUGCGUAGGCUGGGAGGUAAGUCAGCGGUGAAAUGCCCCCGCUCAACGGGGUGAAGGGCCAUUGAUACUGCCUGGCUGGAAUGCGGAUGCCGUGGGAGGAAUGUGUGGUGUAGCGGUGAAAUGCAUAGAUAUCACACAGAACAUCGAUUGCGAAGGCAUCUCACGAAUCCGCGAUUGACGCUGAUGCACGAAAGCGUGGGUAUCAAACAGGAUUAGAUACCCGAGUAGUC